AUUUCUUCCUCCCUAUGCAAAUGAUGAGGCGGGACUUUAAACUUCAGGCAUAGCAACAUGCACAGAGUGCUGAUAGGCUGUAGAUCCUCCCUAGAUAGGGAGAAAGAGGCUGACUGUGAUGUCUACGAGUGUCAGUGUCUGAGCUUCUUCGAGAGGCGGCGGAUCGGCUUGGAGGAUUAGAGUACUUUGAGAGACGCGGACGGGUUCGAGCUGCUGAAAAUGUCUGGAACUACACAGAGCUGUCAUCUUAUACCUGUCCCAUGCCCCAAUCAGGGCUACAGUAUGAGAUAUCUGAAGACCCUUGUGUCGUGCUACUCUGUACAUUCGCCCGCUGUAAAGGAAUUUGAGUAUGGAGCAUGAACUGAAUGAUUCAGUUGUUGUUCAAAGUGGAACCCUGACACAAUGUCUAAACUGUGAAGAACAACUUCCCUUUGCACAAAUAAGAAGACACAGUGAAGCCUGCUCAAGUUCAUCUGGCAUUUCAGCAGCAAGUGGUCCAGUAUACACCGUUGGUGAACCAAAUCCGGUCAAGGCAGCUCAGCUGUUCACAUACUGGACACUUCAGUCCCACGAGGACAAAGACCUCCUGAGCUUGAGGGAUUCCUUAGUGGAAAGGAACAGGACCAUAAUCCUUUUCUCAACAAUUGCAUCCAAUGUCUUGGUUUGCUGAGCUUGUGUAACUCUACAUUGAAUGAUUUCAAAUAUGUUUACAAGGUGACUCUGCCAUUGGAGAGGGGGUCACUAGGUAUGUCCUGUCCACUGUUAUGGAAAAUCUUCAAAAUGGAUUCCUACUUGAUGAAGAGAAAGGUUCAUCAGAGGCCCUGAAGAGUUUGUCCGAGGUCCUGAAGAGUGCUUUUUUUAACCUGAAGCUGUCGAAAAAUACUAUGACUUAUGAGGAUUUUGAAAAAGAUCAGAUGGCAAGCAUCUCCUCAUCCUACUCUGGGUUUGGUCUGUUUUGAUUCAAAGCCCUGCAGGAAGACACAAUUCUUCACAUCAGCUCAAAAGUUUUAUAGAGCUUUUUACUUUGUUAUUUGAUAUACUUUACACUAGGUAUAGAGUUUAGUAAACAGUGAUACAGACACUUUGAUAAAGUGGCUUACAUUUUACAUUCUACAUUCUAACGGUAAUGGUUAACCAAAAAAAUCAAAGCUGUACAAUUUGAAAGAUUAGAGAGAGCUAGAUUAAAGGUAUUGCUCACUACCUCGUCAAUUCCCAAUGGCCUUGCAGGCAGAUGCAUUCUAGAUCCUAUUGGAGGAGGAACCUGAAGCUGGGGCCAGUUCAAAGGCCUACCCUCCAUAUCUACUCCCAUUAUCCCUAUUUAAAAGUCCUGUCAAUGCUAAUUGUGACUAACAACGCCUCUUUAUAAACAAUUUUACUUUUGAAGCCAGGCGGGGUUUUCCAACUGUGGGAAACAUACUGUAUUAAGGAAUAUUGUGUGGUAUAUCAGAAUUCCCAUGCACUUGUUCUAUGCCUGGCUGCACUACAAGGUGAACUGUAAGGCAAGUUACCCUCAAACUGUACAAGAGACUGAAAUAAAAAACUGAUGCUUCAUCUGAUGUUUGAAUAUUUUUUAUAUAUGUACAACAUAUCCACUCGAUAUGACUGCAUUUACCCUGAAAUAUGUUUCCCGCCACACUGAGGGAGAAGGUGUCUCAACUGGCCAAUCAACGUUAGAGGUGCCCUUGACAAACGA
rnacentral:lncRNA from 1 species